AUGCAAGCACCAAAUCGAAAAGGGGCGCAGGAGGGGAAUCGAGGAGGAGUAGGGGGGAGUCGGAUCCAUGGACCUGGCCGCGAAACGGGGCCGGCUUCCGCCGUUCCGUCCGGACCGACGGGUUCCACAUCGGAGGCGGGGAGCGGAGCGCCGGAGGAGCCGCGGCCUCGGCGCGGGAGGCUGCCCCUCUGGCUCCGUGCUGCAUACAAGCGAUUGGUUCCACUUCUAUCUAGGGUUUCAGUCAACCUCCGAAUCCGGCCGCCGCGGCCCAACCUCGACCGAGAUGAGGACAGAUUCAGCGCGCUCCCCGACGACGUCCUUCGAGGAAUCCUGGAGCACCUCGACCUGUGCGAGGUGGUCCGCGCCCGCGCAGUCUCCACGCGGUGGCGGCACCUCCACCACCUGCUCCCGCGCCUGCAUCUCGACGUCCGCCACUUCGUCGGAGCCAAUUCGGCGGUCUUGAUCACUGGGAAUUCUCCGGUGGCCGACGUCAUGGAGGCAUUCACGGGCGCGCUGUGCAGUUUACUGUCUGCAUGUCCUCCUCCGGCCCAGUGCAAGUGCGCCAUCAAAACCCUCAGCCUCCGCUUCUUCCCGAUGUCGGACCUGAGCUCCAUAGGCCGCGCCGUCGAGGACGCUAUCGCCGGCGGCGAGAUUGAAUGCCUUGAAUUUCACACGUGCUCGCCAUACAGUUUACGGACUGGUUUCAACACUGAAGGGCUGCGUGCUGAGCUGGGGCAGCUGUUCAUGUCCUUCUCCCGUGCCUAUCCAGUUACCUUCCGGUGGCUCACGAUGCUUAAAUUCAACGACCUUGUGUUUGGCCAUUCUGACGUCACCGAUCUCAUUAGAGCUUGCAAUAGGCUCAGACACCUCACCCUGAGUUCCUGCGGACUGGUUGAUCGGCACUCUGUGCUCAAGAUCGACACGCCACGCUCAAGGCUCCAUGAGCUCUGCUUCAUUGGCUUUCGUUGCAGAUGGAUUGAGUUGAUCGAUGUACCCAAACUUACAGAAGUGCGAUUCCAAUCUUCACGCUUCGAAAACCCUCCGGUGCGGUUCGGCUAUGUUCCGGAGCUUCGCUGCUUGUUCAUCAUUUCCCGUAUCAUAAGCUUUUCGCCGCCACUCGCACUGAGUGGGUGUCUACCAUGGAGUUCCAGGAACUUCUCUAAUUUGUAUCUCGAUUUUGGCAGCCAAAUGGUGAGUUAA
rnacentral:rRNA from 1 species